rnacentral:lncRNA from 1 species
CUCUCCUUAGCCGCUUGUGCCGCCAUCAGAGGGGCCUGUCUCGCUCCCCCAGACACAGAGCCUCUGUUUUCCUCACUCCGGGUCUGGAGUCCCCUGCUUAACAGCUUGGAUUGAAGAGGCUUGUCUGGGGGGACUGAGACCUUGCAGAUCAUUCCAGGAGCCGCCUCCAUCCAAGGCCAACAGCUUCAUCAGGCCGCAGGCCUGGGAGAAGGUGGGACUGCAGUUGCCCAACAUCCUGUGGCUGCCCACACGGACACCCCAUGUGCACCCCAGGGCUGAGAGCAGGGGGAGCCAUCUCCCUGUGUGUGGGACACUGCCUGCUGGGUGUUCCGUUCCAGCCCCUCUAGAAUGCAUGCUUGAAUGGCCAGUGAGGCUGGGGGAGGGACCGAGAGGGAGCCCUCACCCCCAGCAGCACAGAGCAGGAGCUGGACGGUGGGGCUGGGGGUGAGGCCAGCUGAGAGGGGUCAGGUCCUGCCACGGGAGGGGGACUUUUAAAGUUCCUCCAUGGCCCUGGAACCCUGGAGCCUCAGGAGUGGCAGGGGAGCUUCUCCGCCCUAAUAGCAAUCAGAUGGCGCAAGUGGAAAAUCACGGCGCUCGGCAAGCAAGCUGGAAAUUGGCGGGCUGUGGUGCCUGGUGCCUGCGCUGCUCAGCGGGAGGAUGAGUCAGGAGUGUAGUGCCCAGACUGGGAGAGAUGUGCCUCUGUGGGCAUCUUGAAGGGAAAUGAGAAGCGGAGCUGCCCCUGCACCUGCGCUGGGAGCUGCCUGCCUCCUGCUUGUCCUGGCCAUGUGCGAACCUCAGCGUGGAAGAGGGACUCUCGCACUGCUCCCUGCGCGGCUCAGCUGGCCUCCUGGGAAGCCACAAGAAACUAAUCCAUGGGGAUGGCCAGGCCUGAUUAGCUGGGGUGGGGCUGGAGGCUCCUCUACAGAGAUGAUGCUUACACUGAGACCUGAAGGAGAAGGAGGAGGUGGCUGCUCACGCAACCCACAGGAAAGUGUUCCAGGAUCAAGAACAGCAGGUGCAAAGGCCCCGUGAUGGAAAGGAUUGGUGCACUAGGAGAACAAAGGCAGCCUGGACACCAGGUUUGGUCUACCUCGUCCACACCCGCCUGCUUCUGUCCCGCCUUAAGCGGAUCCGUGAUGUCCCGUCAUUAGACCUUCAAUUUCAGCACAGGACUGAAUAACUAACCUUCAAAAAGUUUGCAGUAGCCUUGUCACUCCUAAAAAUAACAAAUAAUUCCUUAAACAUCAUUCAACAUCCAAUCAGUGUUUGCACACUUUUUUUACAGCUCUGCAUGUGUGUCACAAGCUAAACAAGGCCCGUGAGUGGAUGUGCUUCUUUUUGGGGUUGGGGAGAGACGGUGUCUCACUCUGUUGCCCAGGCUGGAUUGCAGUGGCAAGAUCUUGGCUCAUUGUGUCUCCCGGGUUCAAGCGAUUCUUCUGCCUCAGACUCUUGAGUAGCUGGGACUACAGGCAGUGCCACCACGCC